CCUUAGAGUUUGAUCCUGGCUCAGGAUGAACGCUAGCUACAGGCUUAACACAUGCAAGUCGAGGGGCAGCAUCAUCAAAGCUUGCUUUGAUGGAUGGCGACCGGCGCACGGGUGAGUAACACGUAUCCAACCUGCCGACAACACUGGGAUAGCCUUUCGAAAGAAAGAUUAAUACCGGAUGGCAUAGUUUUCCCGCAUGGGAUAAUUAUUAAAGAAUUUCGGUUGUCGAUGGGGAUGCGUUCCAUUAGGCAGUUGACGGGGUAACGGCCCACCAAACCAACGAUGGAUAGGGGUUCUGAGAGGAAGGUCCCCCACAUUGGAACUGAGACACGGUCCAAACUCCUACGGGAGGCAGCAGUGAGGAAUAUUGGUCAAUGGACGAGAGUCUGAACCAGCCAAGUAGCGUGAAGGAUGACUGCCCUAUGGGUUGUAAACUUCUUUUAUACGGGAAUAAAGUUAGCCACGUGUGGCUUUUUGUAUGUACCGUAUGAAUAAGGAUCGGCUAACUCCGUGCCAGCAGCCGCGGUAAUACGGAGGAUCCGAGCGUUAUCCGGAUUUAUUGGGUUUAAAGGGAGCGUAGGCGGGUGCUUAAGUCAGUUGUGAAAGUUUGCGGCUCAACCGUAAAAUUGCAGUUGAUACUGGGCGCCUUGAGUGCAGCAUAGGUAGGCGGAAUUCGUGGUGUAGCGGUGAAAUGCUUAGAUAUCACGAAGAACUCCGAUUGCGAAGGCAGCUUACUGGACUGUAACUGACGCUGAUGCUCGAAAGUGUGGGUAUCAAACAGGAUUAGAUACCCUGGUAGUCCACACAGUAAACGAUGAAUACUCGCUGUUGGCGAUACACAGUCAGCGGCCAAGCGAAAGCAUUAAGUAUUCCACCUGGGGAGUACGCCGGCAACGGUGAAACUCAAAGGAAUUGACGGGGGCCCGCACAAGCGGAGGAACAUGUGGUUUAAUUCGAUGAUACGCGAGGAACCUUACCCGGGCUUAAAUUGCAGCGGAAUGUAGUGGAAACAUUACAGCCUUCGGGCCGCUGUGAAGGUGCUGCAUGGUUGUCGUCAGCUCGUGCCGUGAGGUGUCGGCUUAAGUGCCAUAACGAGCGCAACCCUUAUCUAUAGUUACUAUCAGGUCAUGCUGAGGACUCUAUGGAGACUGCCGUCGUAAGAUGUGAGGAAGGUGGGGAUGACGUCAAAUCAGCACGGCCCUUACGUCCGGGGCUACACACGUGUUACAAUGGGGGGUACAGAAGGCAGCUACCUGGCGACAGGAUGCUAAUCCCAAAAACCUCUCUCAGUUCGGAUUGGAGUCUGCAACCCGACUCCAUGAAGCUGGAUUCGCUAGUAAUCGCGCAUCAGCCACGGCGCGGUGAAUACGUUCCCGGGCCUUGUACACACCGCCCGUCAAG
rnacentral:rRNA from 1 species